GACAAGAAAAAGCAGCUGGAAGAAAAAUGUGCUCUACCAUCUCUGAUGCUUGUUGACAAAGGAUUCAUCGUCCAAUACACUUUCCCAAUUUCCUUUCCAGCACAUCUCUUGGAUGGUUAUGCAGGUACCUCAUGAUUAGUAAUUGCAGUCGAAAAAAAAAAUGUAAUAAACUCGAUAUUUUCUUCUAACCUAAUUGGAAUUAGUACAAAAUCUUUAAAUGUCA
rnacentral:lncRNA from 1 species